CCACCCCGACACCCCUCGUCCCUCCCCCAACCACCCCGAACGGAUAGACAGCCAUGAAAGAGGCUGACACCUGCACACUCAGGCACGACUUAAAAUAGAACUUGUCAAACAGUGAUCCUCUCUGGAUCAAGCUCGGAACAACAAACAGCUCUUGAACUCGCCUCCCAGCCUAAAAAGACUGCAGUGUGUGACACUGUGGGGUAGUUUGGUGGGAACGACAAAUCCCACACUUUCAAAAUCCUGACAAUCCUCAGGUAUGAUGCCAAUUAUUAAUGUUUCCUUUUUUCACAGGCACGUACAAUUCAGAGGACUUUCGAAAUUAUCUAAAAACAUGGGUGAUUCUCACUGCCAGCCUUGUCUGUGAGAAAAGUACAUAUCUAUGUCUGCACAGAUACGAGACAAAAAAUAAACCUUUAAUUUUUAAAAAUUAAAA